rnacentral:rRNA from 1 species
GUGGGGAAUAUUGGACAAUGGGCGCAAGCCUGAUCCAGCCAUGCCGCGUGUGUGAAGAAGGCCUUUUGGUUGUAAAGCACUUUAAGCGAGGAGGAGGCUCCUUUAGUUAAUACCUAAAGAGAGUGGACGUUACUCGCAGAAUAAGCACCGGCUAACUCUGUGCCAGCAGCCGCGGUAAUACAGAGGGUGCGAGCGUUAAUCGGAUUUACUGGGCGUAAAGCGCGCGUAGGUGGUUAAUUAAGUCAAAUGUGAAAUCCCCGAGCUUAACUUGGGAAUUGCAUUCGAUACUGGUUGGCUAGAGUAUGGGAGAGGAUGGUAGAAUUCCAGGUGUAGCGGUGAAAUGCGUAGAGAUCUGGAGGAAUACCGAUGGCGAAGGCAGCCAUCUGGCCUAAUACUGACACUGAGGUGCGAAAGCAUGGGGAGCAAACAGGAUUAGAUACCCUUGUAGUCC